rnacentral:rRNA from 1 species
AUGCGCUGGCAGAAUAAAAUGUAUGCAAGAAAUGUAUGCAAAAUGUGGAGAUUCAAUGUGGAGAGAACAAAAUGUAUGCAAGAAAUAGUUUGCGGCUGCUCGGGUAUACCGAAAAGAAGUAAUACAAGGUCUUGCCGGUGCAGAUGUCCAGCAAUGAUAAGGUUACUACGCUCAAAGGACAACGGAUGGUAUAUAAGCGAGCACAGGGCAUUCCACAACCACUCUCUCACAGAUAAGUGUGGACAGAAAAUAUAUUGGCCCUCGCAUAGACAUAUCGACAUUUAUAUACGAGAUGUUAUCAAGCAGCUGCGUGCAAAUAAUAUUAGCAUUGGCAAAGUCUACAACAUAAUUGGCAGUUUCUUUGGCUCCAUGAGCAGUGUGCCUUUCAGCAAGAGAGCGUUGAGGGGGCUUUGUGGACAGAUUAGCCGAGAUCAGGCAGAUGAUGACGUCAGAAAGACAAUAAAAGUUUUUGUUGAAUUGGGAUCCAAAGAUUCAAGGUUGUACUACAGAGUACAGCCAGACACGGACAGCCGCAUACGAAAUCUGUUAUGGUCAACAGGAGCAAGCAGAGCACAUUACCACUACUUUGGAGAUGCAAUAACUUUCGAUACAACAUACCGUACAAACAUGUAUCAUAUGCCAUUCGAUUUGUUUGUCGGAGUAAACAAUCAUUUCCAAAGUGUCAUAUUCGGAGGAGUUUUAGUUAGAGAUUAG